AAAAAUAGGUCCAAGAUAUGCUGUUUGAAUGCUUCGUAAAAGAUUUAAGAGAAAAUAACUUUUUUGAUAAAUUUAAUCGAUUGAUUAAACUACGCAGGUGAGGGCAAUCGCAAAUAUAUUGAAGAGGAAAAUGUGAAUGCACAUUACUUGAUGUAGUGGCAUCACAGGUGAUGAGAAAGAGAAAACAAGUUUAAUAUUUUUAUGUCUGAAGUCAAGCGAUUUAUACAGUAAUCCACAUGAAAUUAAUGUAUCAAUUAUAAAAAAUAUUGAUGAAAAAAUUAUUAAAUUAAUGUUCAUGUUUUUGCAAAAUCGGGUCUGAACGAUGCAAGGCACUGCGUAGCAGCUCUUAUAUAUUUAAUUAGGACAGAAGUGUAAUAUAGAAAGAUCUACAUGCACUGAUAUAUGGAACAAAAAUGGGGCAAAUUAAAAAACGUCAAAACAACCCAAAUAGCCAAAUAAACGCAACGUGUUGUUAUUUUGCUGUCACUUAUUCCCUAUUAAUUUUAUCAAACUAAAGCCAAGGUGUUUCCUAAAACUGUCUGUUGUUCUGACAUCAUGUAAAAUUCUACAUUAGAAUUCAACAAACUGACGUGAAAAACUAAUUAUUUUCCAUAAAUAAUGUUUUAUUUAUAUAAAACAUGAAUAUUCAUCUUACAAGUUACGACGAUUUACAACCGAAUUGUCAAAACAUAAUCCUAUUGUAAGUAAAGAUACCUGUACAUGUGUGUAUGUGCGUGGGUGUGCGUGUGUGUGUAAUAAAUUUUAUUACAAUCCUAUUAUAUUAUUCAAAACUUAUUUAUUAUACAUAUAUACACUUUAUUAACACACUCACGUACACUCGAGCGCGUCUGUGUGUGUAUGUGUAUGUGUGUGCAUAUUUUUUUAUAUGAUUAUACUUGUAAACUACAAUUCUUUUUUACAUUUACGCAAUGAUUAUAAAUAAUAUAAUUAAAGGCAUAAUCGGCUCAUUAUCAAAAAUGAGCUAUCGGAGAAAUUUGUGUAUUGCAUUAUAUAAAAAUAAAUUUUUGC